GGGGCCGCGCUGGGGUGGGACGGGGAGGCCGCUGCCUGUGGCGCAGGGAGCCGCGGCGCUCCGGAGUACUGCUGAUAGAAGGGCCCCGGGCGGCGGCGGUGAGUGCUUGGCCCCAGAGCGUGGGUUAGGAGUGAGGCCUGGCUCUCAGCAGGAGCGGGCCGGGGCGUGUCCGUGCCAUACACCAGCUGACGGGCUGUGCUUGGGCGUCUUUUUAAGUUUCGUGGCACCUGUCUAAUGUCCGGUAACUGCACUGAUAGUGUUUGGCCGUCGCAGAUAACGUGGUUUAGUGUGCCCAGCAGAAGGAGCUUUGCUCGCUGCUGGAGGCGGGUGUCCUGGGGUGUCUAUAGAGACACGCACCCACCUUGGAAAAGCUGAGAAGGCACGAGGGGCGGUGAGACCUCUCGACCAUAGGCCUUUCUGAUUUCUUACUGUGCUCGCUGGGUGGCGUUGGCAUGGCGUAGCCAGCUUAUUGGGUGCUGUCUGACUUUCAGUGUACCGGCUGGCUGGCAUGUAGGAGGUAGGCUAGAUUUUGAGAAGCAGGUUGUAGGCUUUCCUAUAUUGAACAUCAUGCCUGCUUGUGGUACUCUGGGGAGUGGGAAAUGAUCCACUCAUCAAAUGAGAGAUGAAUUCAAUCUCCAUUAGACCUAAGGGGAUGGGAGUUCUCUGAGCCGGCGUGCUCCAAACUGGAAGGAAGAGUACUCAAAAGUAUUACAUUGUUUGUGAAAUAACACUAUUUCUAGUUACAGCUGAUUCCUGUGAAAUAAAGUACUUUAUUAUUGUAAGAAGAUAUUCUAUUGAAAAGAGCUGUGGAGAGUUUUGCAGGCUCUCUGGAAAUCUUGGCUAAAGUCCAGUAGUGGCACAGCUCAGAAAAAAAAUGGCUUACAAGUUUUUAUUUCAUACUUUGGCUCCUCCUGGAGGUAAGUACAAUGCAUUUGCUCAGCAUGUUGCCUCACAAUGACUAUGCACAUGCAGUAGUCUGUUUGCCCCAGCAUACACUUGAAUGGUGAGGAAGGGAUGUUAUGAGAUGUUCUUGUGAUGCAGUUGCUUAAUCUGAACCUUGCAGCCUUUCAAGAUUUGCUGAUAUUGCAGCAAUGUGUGUCAUCCUUUUAAUUCUAUAAUUACACCUCCCUUCAGUUAAAGAAUCUGAACCAGUUGCUUGCCUUCCUGUGAAAUGUUUGAUAUUUUGAGACAGGAGGUGCAUUUCCUACCCCCAACAUGUCCAAUUGUGCCACAUUCAUCCCUGAAGAAGAGGAGCAGAGGGACUGUGAUGCUCUGUUGGUGCUCUGUUCAGUAAUAGUUGCACACAUCCAAAGAAUUUGGAGUUACAACAACAGCUUCUUUUAUUCCAUUUUUACUUCUUUGUUCUCAACACAGAUACCUUUAUAUUAGUUGUGCUGUGGGUGGAGAAAAGAGGCAGUGACAGGAUGACUUCUAUCACAGCAGUUGCCCACUGUAAACUUUUAAGUCUGUGCUGUAAACUUUUAAGUCUGAUGCCAAGUAAUGAUGUUAUGUACUGCAGUGGGUAACAGAGGGGAGGAGCUUGAGUGUCUUCUUUAUAGCAGGCAGAAGACAUCUAUGUGACAUCUCUGUGAUGAUCUGCUGACUGGGCUUUGUUAUUUAAACUGGCUUAGAAAGUGCUUCACCUACAUUGAUUCCCUCUCUUCUUCCCCUUCCCCCCUGUCAGUGCUGCAGCUCUGGGGAGGAGACCAGGAUGCAUCCUGCAUUACAGAUGAUUUCAUUUUGUUGUUUAUACCUUGUUUCUUUCUCUGAAGCUGUAGAUGCCCCUGAUGGCUGUUGAAAUGUAGGAAAAAGGAAUUAACUUCAAAAACUACCCAAGCAAAUACUUGAUGCAAGGGACAAGUAAAAUAGUUCUCCCUGUGUCUAGUUCACGUUCAUCAGUUUGGAGAUGUUUGAUUCUUGUCAGUGUGUGGAUCUUGCUCGCUGAUCCCAGCUUGUCAAGAGAUGUUAAUGAUGAAACCCACGUUCCAUGGCUCACACUUGGAUAUUCUGCUCACCAGAAAGCGACAGUGUCUGAGGCUCUUCUGACCCAACAGGUCUUAAUUGCAAGAUCCACAAACAGCUUAGAGUCUUAUUGCAGAAAUAAGUGUGUCUCCGCAUGUCAUAUGCAAAGACUAAGGUGAUGACAGUGGAGAUGCUGCCUUUGGCACCUCUGAAAUAUGAGUACACUGGUGUAAUGCUGUUAAGGACCUCCCCCGGGUGUCUGUACAGGCCUGAGCCUCUGAAACUGGGAUGUUUGUGUGCGCUGGGGAUGCUGUGCAGACACUCCAUGCUGCAGAAGCUGUGGAUUGUCUGUGUUCUUAAAAUGGUUUUGGUCACUGGACUCAGGUAAGCAACCAGCCAGCAUCCUGAGGUGGUUGGAAGACCCUGCAAGAGGGAUGCUGAAGAUGAGGAUGAGUGGGAUUGAGUACGUGAUGCCUUUGAUCAAAGGAGAAACUGCUUAAUCUAAACGUAAUCUGAGUUCACAUGUAGAAACCUGUCUUGACAUCUCGGCUUUCGUUCUGACAAGUUCUUGCUGUUAAAAAAAACUGGAAGGAUUUGGAUGCUCUUCACUGGAUAGUGUACCAAACUCAGCUCUGCAGGCUGCCUGCGAAACACACCCAUUGAUGAGAGUAUACCUACAGAUAGGUGUUAUGGUGAGACAGUUGGUCAGGUAUCUGAGGUUCUGUCAACAUCCAUGCAAGUGCAGGAUUUGGGGGUUCUCUCAGGUCUUGCAAAUCAAUUGUCAGGCCUUGUGUAAUUCCUAGUAUGCAGAUUAGUUGGAUGAGCAGAUUUCCCUGUGCACUCACAGUGGAAUAUUGAUGUGACCUAUGAUAGUCAUGGCAUUUAAUUUUUGUUUUAAAAUCCCUUUUUCUUAAUGAUCCCAGCUGUGAAAGUUAUCCAUAGUCCCCUUGGAUGAAGGAGGAGACUUCAAGUGUCACUGACCAACUGCUUACUUCAAAGCCUAUGGGGGAAGGGUGUAAAGUCUGAAACAUCAAAGUUACUGCUCAGGUUCUGGAGGCUGAAGAAGGCUCUAUGAAGGGGUUUUUUGUUUGCAGUUGUCUGUCGUGGAGCUGUUUCCAAGAGAGUUGGGGAACUGCAUGGUGAAAGGUGAGUGAGUUCAGCUGGGUAAGUACUUCUGUAUGAUGUUACUGUUUCCAGGUGUCUUAACACAGAAAAAUACAUUACUCUUCUGGUUUGUGAUUAAAACACGGACAGCUUGGAGAAAAACACGGGUAAGACUGGAAGACUUCUGUGCCUAAGUCCUCUCAAUGAAAUUGAAGGGAGGCAGCUGUUAAGCUAGAUUCUGGAAGUACUUGGUAUUCUUGCAUAGCCAAAAAAGUUUGGAAAGCUGCUCUGCAAGUAGUUCUAGUGACUAAUUAUAAAGUGUUACUUUUUUAUCUUUCAGGACAAGAAGAGCUCUCUUAAGAGCAGUCAAGAACCUCUUCAGGUAGCACGGAGAGUUGCUUCAACUGAGAAAUGGCAGCAGUUGAGCUGCAGUUAGGCAGCAGGAAGGGGUGUGCAGGCUUCUGCAGGUCCAUGGAUUCCUAAGCUCUGGUUUCUGAAGGAACUAUUUAAGUAGAGGGAAAAACUCAUGUUGCUGCAGAACUUUCAACUCCCUUGAAUUUAAGUGAGAGCUCAACUGAUACUGAAAUUAUUUUUAUUGUAGCUAGUGGAGAAGGGCAUCAGAAUAAGGGACUAAGUGCUAAUCAGGGUCUUGUGCUGGGGAAGAGGUUGUAGACAGGCCCCAUGUGAGAGCAUAUUUGGAGCAUUCAGAACCUAAACACUUCAGGUUUUAUCAAGUGUUUCCUGAUUUAAAAAUUGGGGCUUUGUUUGGUCCACCUGACUCCUGCAGAGAUCCUGGCUGAAGACAAGAAGCCUUCCCCACCGCUGGGUAGCUGGAGACUCAGGCACAUAUCCCACAGUCAGAUGGGCUUCAGGGCUUUUUGCCCACUUGCACUGCCCCCAGCACAGCUUGGUGAGAGCCUGCCCUGCACUGAGCAGCAAGGGGCAUUGCCGCAAGGUUCCCUUGCUGCCAAUCCUGGGAAGGUGUGUUUUUGUUGUGUAGUGACAAACCUGAGUCAGUGAUACCCUUCAGCUGAUGCACGUGUGUGUGCCAGACAGUCUGUGGGCUGACAAAUCCUCAAGUGUGGUACCAGCUUUUACUCCUUGGAAGAAAAGUGAGGAAGGCAGCAGGCAAUGCUUUUGAAGGCUGAUGGGAGAUGCUGCUGAAAUUGAACGCCCACUAGACAUCUCUCUGUGGGAGAACAUGGUUUGAUAGCUGCCAAGUGCUGUGACAAAGGCAAUGUGAGCCUUUAGUUAUGGCCAUCUUCCACCAUUGCUCUUUCUCCUUCUGUUAAGAGCUGCAUAGGUGAAAAGUUUUGAGGCACAAAGAGAGUGUGAAAGCCAUAACCCAAGGUAAAAAUUUGAACAACUGUGAUUUUGUGUCAAAUAAUGCACCAAUAUUUCUUUUCUAAGCACGCCCUGUAGCUGAAGUGACAUACUGGAGUCCCUGGGCCUGCAUGCUGCAAGUGUUUGAAUGCAGUGGUGCAAAAUUAUGUGCUACUUCAUGUGUGAUUCAGCUUCAAAUACAAGUGUUGGCAGUUUGAGGAGCUGAACAACAGUACUGCAGUCAGAGCAUUCCUUAGCACAUAGCAGCUGCUUCCUUUGGGAUAAGCAACGCUGAGCUGUGAGAACACACACAGUUGGGAGAGCAGUGGCUGAUAGGGUCCCAUGCCACAAUUCCCCGUGUUUGCUCUCUACCUCACCUUGGACUCCAACCCAAAUGUUGAGCUUUUCUGUACACCAGCACUGGGUGGCUCAUUUCCACCCUCUGAUUGUUUUUUGGUUGAUUGGUUGGUUUUUUUUCUGUUUCUCUGCAAAUACCUCUUCCCGGAAAACUGGAAACAGUAAGUAUCUCGGGUUCCUGGCCAAGUUUCCACUCACAGAGUUUCGUUUGCUCCAUUCUGUCAAGUUAUUUUGAGGCAGUGCUGUAAGGAUACAGCUUGGGGACUGCUAGUGAGCAGCUAACCUUUUUGUCCUGGCCCUGCUCCACGCAGAUCAGACUCACACAAACCCUACUCCUUGUGAGGAGUCCAGUGGCAGCUCCUGCAGCCCUUGGUGUCCUGUUACAGCACUUAAUGAAAAAGACACUACUACACUGCUCUUGCAGAGAUACAGGAGUGGACAGGCCAAGGUCCAUCACUUUCCCUUCAUGACCUAGAAUCUGAACCUUCUGCAUAUGUGAGGCUUGGUGAACUGUUACCCCUUGGCUUCCUGUGCCACAGUACACAAUUCCCUUUCUUGUCAGCUGCUACCUGGAGCAGCAUAGUGAGCUACUGAUGCAUUUUUAGAGUCAUAGAAUGGUAGGGAUUGGAAGGGACCUUUAGAGAUCAUCUAGUCCAGCCCCCCUGCAGAAGCAGGUUCACCUAGAUCAGGUCACACAGGAACACAUCCAGGCGGGUCUUGAAGACCUCCAAGGAAGGAGACUCCACACCUUCAUGUUUAAAUAGAACUUUUUGUGUUCCAGCUUCAUCCCAUUACCCCUUGUCCUGUUGCUAGAUGCAAUAGAAAAAAGAGCUGCCCCAACCUCCUGACACCCACCCUUUAGAUAUUUUUAAAUAUUAGUGAGAUUCCCCCCUCAGUCUGUGUUCUGUGGGUCACGGUGGGAGCACAGGAGGUUUGCAAUGUAGCUUUCUUAAACUUGGAUUGUGUUAGUGAACUGGUUCAGAGUGUAACAUGGCACUAAAGGCAGGUGGCUAGGUGCACAGCGGAAGUCAGAAAUUCUGGAGCUUGCUGCUGAAGCUUCUCAUUAAAUUGUGCAUCUAAGGAUGCAGUUCGUUUUGUGGGGGAGCAGCAGGAGGGCGUUUCUUGUGCACAUGUUUUUAGUAACCCUGUUUUUCUGCUCUAGGUCUCAUGACCAAGCCAGAUGCUUUCCCUGACUGGGCAGCAGCAGCUCCAGAAACCCUGAUGUCUGUAAGCAGCACUGGUCAUUGCAACAUAUAAUUCAGAACAAUCCCAGUGGGAUAAGAGAUGGAGUAAGAUGUGGAGCAGUUUUUGCCAAGGAUGGAGGUUUUUGGCUGUUACAGGGAGUACCAAUACAUUAUCUUACAGAAUCACACAGAACCUUAAGGGUUGGAAGGGACCUUGAAAGAUCAUCUAGGCUAACCCUCCUUGCCAAAGCAGGGCCACCCUAGAGUAGGUCACACAGCAACUCAUCCAGGUGGACUAAUUCCUUAUAUUGAGAAGAGUUGUAUGUUACCCCUGCACAUGUAGCCAAAUAUUCCUUUGAUGGCAGACUAGAUCUGUAAAAAUUGGAUUGAAUACUGAAGUGUUUCCCUUAUCAUGGAUAAAAGUUCCACAUCAACAUUGUUGCAGUGCUUCUGAUGUAGAUGAAGCCAGCUUCACUGCUUUGUGCUGUUACAAUGCAAGUAUGGUUUUCUGCCUCCCCUCUCAUCAUGGUGAAUGCUGUCCUCUGAGGACGAAGUGGCAGCAACUGCUGGAGUGACAUGCAGUGGCUUUGCUGCACUUGCUCUACCUUAGAGAAUGUCAGCUAAGAUAAUUGAGUCUCCUAAGAGGCAGAUUAUUGAUGUUGUUAACCUUUCUGGAAAAAUGAGAAGUAGAAGCAGAUGCAAUCCUCAGAUGAAUUGAAAGGAGGGUGUUGGAGGUCUCACCGGGGGUAAAGUGCAGUCAUGAUUUGCCGGCUCAUGUCAGUGAGUUCUGCUCAGUCUCCUGCAAAUUCCUGCCAACUGAAUGCUCCCCUCAUGUCCAGGGAAGGUUGUGACUGGAGCAACUGCUAUCCCAAUGCUGCCUCCUGGAAACAGGAGGGUGAGGAAAGAGUAGUGGAUUCAAGAAAAAUAAAUGUGCUUCCUCUUCAUUAUAAAUAAUUACAUCUAUUUAGCUGACACUAAUCAUUUAUAAAUAUUUGAUAAUGUAAAUAGAUUUGCAAAUAGGUACCUGGAAAUGUAGGUAUGUAUGUUUAUAAAAUGUAUAUCUUUAGAUGAUAUAUUAAUAAGUAACUGUAAUGCAUAAUAAGACUGGGUAGUUUGGAAAAAUGGAGGAGCUCUGUGUUGCCAGCAGACUCCUGGGCUGGAGUAGCUGUUCUCUCUCGAGAGCAGAUGGAACGUGACAGUCUGGUCCCCAACAGAUACAGUCAGUGUGAAUCCUCUUGUUUUGUUAAAUUUUUCAAUCAUGUCUGUCUUUUAAACUCUCAUCCCUGAGCAGGUUAUUUGGCUGUAGCUUUCCCGAGUCCGGCAGCAUGUGAUGUGUUUGGCCAUGCAGACAGGUACAUGUGGGGUUCUCACCAGUUCCUGUCAACACUCCACUGUGGCGGCUCUCCAGGAUUCAUUCGGAGUGGUGGUGCAGCCACGUGCACAUGGGUUUGAUGGGCUCUCAAAUAUCACAGCCUUUUUUGUUAGUCAUUUCUCCCUUAUCCAAAGGUAAGUUUAGGCACAAAUCAUGGCAGCUGAGGCCCUGGGUUUGGAACAUGCCUGCCUCCUUUGUCUAGGGGAAUCUGCCUCAGGUACAGCUGAUUUACCAGCCCCACUCCUCUCAAAGGAAACGUGAACUUUGGCUGUGCAAUGGUAGUGCUUUGUGUACACAAUGUCCAGGUCAUGUGGAAUGCAAAGGAUGGCUGCCCCAGCCUUCCCUGAAUUUACUGCUCAGCAACUGUGGCAAAUCCUGAUUAAGGGUCACUUUUUGAACACUUAAAGAAACACUAUCAAAGCUAUUAGGAAAGGUGACAACAGUAUUUGGUGGCAAGGUUCACUCUAGUGCUUACUACAUCGAGGAGAUACAAAAAGGAAAGAGUUGAAAUGGAUUUAGAAGGAUGUUCACAGAUAGAGAUGCAAAAAGGUAAAGGAGACCCUCCCCUUGAGUCACAGGUUGAAAAUGAACCCCCUUGCUUUCAAUACUCAGGAGUGGAGGGGUGGCUGGAUCCGGCCAAUGCUCAGGCUUGGUCAGUGGUUUAUAUCUAAAGCAUUAUGUACACACUUAAUUCUUAAUAUCUCUUAGCUAAGAUUUCAAAGGUUCAGCAUGCUUAUUCCCAGUGCACUUACUGAGUAUCUGUUUUGAGAAGAGGUUUCUCUCUCUGUGCCUGGUGUUAGUUCACACCAAAGUUUGAACCCUUAGGCUUUCCAAGGCAGAGUCAUGGGCAUCAACAUAUAUAAAAGUGAUUAAUAGAACAGCAGGGAGAUCAGCAACUGGGUGCCUCUGCAGGGGAAGGAAGAAGGUGAAGGAAUAGAACGUGAACAAAGGAAUUCCUGGGCAGUUACACCCUUACAGAGUGUUCACCUGCCCCUCACAUCACCAUUCAGUUCAGUUGUGGUAUUUGGGUCUGGGGUCUGCUUGUUCCUUGGAUCCUUCGUCUUCAGACAGGCUGUUACUUUGUUGACUUGCAGGUGCUGUUGCUGGAUGCAGCCUCCUUUAUCUCCUGGUUUGGGUUAGCUCUGAAAGUCUUGUUUUGCAUGAGCAAAAACAUGUUCAGUAAAGUCUUGGUGGGAGUUUACAGCUUGCAGCAUAAGGCUUCAGCAUUGUAGCUGAUACGUAGGUGUUGAGGGAGGCUUUGUGCUGACACGUGUUUUCCAAACUUUGGCUUUGUUCCUUUUCUGUAGUAUCUGCUCAUCAAGCAUACAUCACCCACCACACUGCUCAGUCACUCGGUUAUGUCCUGAUGUGUGUGUCCCAAGACAGUUUCCUCUAGUUUUGCCAUGUGGAGCUGUUGAAUUGAGUGGCUGCAGAAUUCCACCUGUUGCAUCCCAUCAUUAUAAAGAAGAAAAAAAGCUUGGAAGAAAGACCCUCCUUUCCUUCUCUGUUGGGAUGUGCUGAACAGCUCCAGUGCUGGUGCAGGGGUCUGCAUCCAUCCCCUGCCUGGGUGGUGGGGCAGCAGCACCCUGUGCUGGAGGCCAUGGAGAGACACCAGUCUCAAGAGAUGCUGUUGUCUACCUUGGUCAACUGUCCUCGUAGCUUCUCUGUCCCUCUUCCUGAAGCUCAUUCCUAUUCUUGCCUGAAGGAAUCUGCUCUAAUACAUCCCUUCAGCGCAAGCAGCUCUUAGGUACAGGAGGCCUGGAUGUGUUCUGGUGUGCCAUCAGAUGAUUCAGAUCCCUACAUAGUUUGUAACAAAAGGGACAUUAAUGUGGAUGAGGGCCAAGAAAUACCUUUUUAGAGUCUUCUGUGUGACCUCUCCUAAAUUUGACAAGCCACAUUAGGUGACUUGGUUUUCUUUUCAGUGGCCUGUGGUCAGAUAUUCACCUGUGGCCAUGUCAUGGUAAGCUCACAUUAGGAGUUUUAAAUCCUGUCAGUAAGAAGGCCCCGAUGAGCUCGCAAUGUGAAGGUAGCUCUAUGCUUUUUCCAAAGGUCCUUCAGAGCAGCUGUUGGUGGGAAGAACACAUGUUCACUCAUUUGCACUUUUUUGUAGUAGCCGUUUCAGCCCCAGAGGAUCCCUGUGUAUUCUGUGUAACAUAUCAACUGCAUUUCUUCAUUUGUACAAAGGCAUAGAAGUGAUGUUUCUUCUAGACAAUUUUUUUCAAGUUUUGUAUUACAGCUGCCUGUAUCCACAUGAGGUAAGUCAGGAACAUUUAAAUAACAAAUUGUAAAAUUGGGCCAUAAUCCACAAGAGUUAUUUAGCUCCAACUUCAGAGGACCUGGAUCCUCUCAUAGUACAUUCAGUGGCAAAUAAUUUAUACCUCAGGACCAUAUUUCACCCUGGACAAUGUCUGUGUGAAUAUCUGGCUGCUGCAACUCCAACAUCUCUUAAUCUGUGGGACAAAAUAUUUGAUUUCCCACUGAAUCUUGGUGGGGGCAGGGUGGGAGAGAUCUAAUAACACUUGAAACGUAGAUGAGAAGUGCUCACUGUGUGCUGAGUUUCAUAGUUUUAACCUUUGCGUAUUUAAAACAUUAAAGUAGCACCUUCCAUUCCCUAAACUUAUGAGAGCUGAGAACAAAUAAGUCUGUGCAGCCAUUUGCCUCACUCAAAUACCUCCAGGACACAAUUGCUCUUUUGCAGGUACCCAGUGAUGAUGCAGAGCUCAGAACCAGCCAGGCACCACGGAAACAGAACAGUACCAAAACGUGUCAGCAGGCUGAGCCUGGCCACCCCUUCCACACUGUUACACCUGCAGUGUUCUGUUUGAAAACUAUUAUCGCUGGGAAAAACUAAUUGCCAACGUUUUAAAGAGGAGAAUCAAAUACUUAGUACAUCUAUAGGGUUCCCCCGUUGAAAUGCAUUCACAAGUGUUACCAGCUGCCACUCCCACUUCAUAACUGGAAGCUGCCUGCAGAGAAAAUGUAACUUUUUGAACCUUGAAACUUUUUAACUACUCAUCUGUUUUCACAGCCAGUUUGUGGCAUCACUGGAGAUGUUCACGUUUCUACGCCCAAGUAUUUCUUUAGUGUAACAGUAAAAGUGACAGAGGAGCCCUGAUUUUCAAAGCAGGACCAGUAACAUUUCAUUUUAAAUGGAAGGAAUGUAUGCGAGUGGUUAUGCAGUCUGUCACUUCAGGCGGGAUGUGUGUGGUUUACUCGCCCCUCUAUUUUGCCUGCAGAGCAGCAAAGAGAACAUGGAUCGUGUUAGCACUCAGAAGCCCUCCUCUUGGCUGCCGGGCUGUGGCUGUGAGUUUGAGGAGGCUGGAGGCGGGUGCGGGCUCUGCGGGGAUGUCCGUUGCGGGACCCGGCAGCCCGCGGCUCUCUCCCGCUCCAGCUCCGCGCCGCUCGGCUCACUGCUCCCAGCUGCUCCGGCACCCAACGCCGCGCCGUGCCGCAAAUGCCCUCCCGGGCAGCUUUGGGGUGGCAGAGGCCGCUGCGGCGGCCGUGCCCUUGGGCGCUGCCGGCACAGGGACGGCAGCUCCCUGGCCGUUCCUGCCUUCCCGCAGUGCUCUGUGCACUUCUUUAAUUUCCUAACCCCUCCGUUUGUCUUUAGUAGCAAUUAUAAGGAAUUAAGUAUUUAACAAUGAGUUUUAUUUCAGCUUUUCCUCACUAUUUUGCUUUGACAUUCUUCCAGGUGAGAAUAACCAAACGUUAUAAUUAAACUUAGGAGGGCAGGUUUGAGAUGUCACUGGUGGGGAACUACUUGAGUCCAGGACCAAAGGCUUGGAAAGAAAGAACUGUGCAUAAGUUGAUGGUGUUCUAGCAUUGAUCGGGGAUUGAAACUUUGACACUAAUAGUGGAUGAAAUUAAUAUUGCUGAACUUCAGCCACCCAGCAGAUGCCUAGUGUGUGCUUAGGUGUUCUUCACUUCAUGGAGGGGACUGCACACAUCUCAGGGCUGAUUUCAAUACCUCUUACUCUAAUUUGGGAUUUUAAGUUUACAGAAAAGAAGCUCACAGGAGCCCAAUUCCAAACAACGUUUGUGCAUCGAUAAUUAUGUGGAGCCUCUCUUUGUGCAACAGUUAAUGACUAAACAGUUAAUUACGUAACUAUUAUGCAGCAGUGGGCUCAAUUCACAUGUUUGUGUUACAGGGAGACUAAUUUGUCUCAGGAGAUGUCUGUUGCUCUCUGUUGACUAAUGAGGGAGCAGAGGUUAGGCUUCUCCAAGUUGGAUUUCUAAGCUACACACCCAGUUUAGCCACCUCUCACCUGCCGUGCCUCUGGGCUGGUGUCCCUGGUACUGGGUAAUACUCUGCCUCAUCUUUAAAGGUCUGUAGGCCCUUAAUAGAAUUUAUGGAUCUAAUUUCACAGCCAGUUGUAUAAAGCAGGACAGUUACUUAUGCAAUUAGUAGGCAACAGAAUCAUAGAAUGGUAGGGUUUGGAAGGGACCUUUAGAGAUCAUUCCAACCCCCCUGCAGAAGCAGGUUCACCUAGAUCGGGUCACAGUAAUUAACCUUUUUCCAAAGUCAGUGGAAUUCCACAUGGGAGCAAUUGCACAAGCAUAAGUUCAGGCUGUUGUUGACAAGAGAUCUGUUAGGAAGCUGUACAGGAUGAAAGGUAAGUGAUAAUGGAAAUUUUAUCAUAUAGUGGUUUAUCUUCUGUAUUAGAUGUCCCGAGAAUUCUACAUGUGUCUAAAUAGUUUUAAAAGGCUUGAACAAAAAAAAUAAUCCAAAAUCCCUGUUGCUGAUUUCAGGUUAUUCAGCACUCCAAACUUGGAUUUUUAAAACUGAUGUUUACCUAAAAUUCUUUAACUUUUUUUUUUUUUUAAAGGAGCACCAGCAGUCUUCAUUUUGAACUCUGUCAGAGGCAUAGCACAGAUGUCUUCACACCUACUAGGGCAGUGGAGGUGCCAAGCAGUGCACAGAGCAGCUGUAUCUUUCAGACAUCUGACAGAAUACAACCAGCCAGGAGCCCAAGAACUGACCUUAAGCAGUGACGAUGCUACUCCUCUCUUCCUUCUUCUUCCCUGAAACACCACAACCCAAACUGAUAAUCUACCAUGUCUUCUGAAGCCUGAAUAUUCAUUCAUACAGAGAGAAGAAUCAUAGAAUUGUGCUUUUAAAAAGCCACUUGAUAAGUGGAACAAGAAAACUUUGUUUAGCUAUGAGUGGAAUGUCCUAUUAUAAAAUGCCAAAAAGCCUUGUUUUUUAGGUCAAAAGCUAACAAGAUGGGCUGUGAGCUCUUAUUACUUCUGUUCCGUCACAGGAAAAACCUGGAGUGCUUUAAAAAUGCCGAGAAUAUGACAGUGAUUGACAAAAAGAGAAGGGAUGUGAGGUGAUACUGUGCUGGAGAAAUUCUAAUUAUUCUUAUAAACCAAAACUGAUACUGAUGUAGCUCUUGCAUUUGCAGCCUCAGCCAGGUGCAAGGGUGAAGUUUUCUCAGCUAAGAUUCUUCCACAUUCUGCCUUUCACCCUUAUGGAAGAAUACCUGAUUAGGUAAAAUCCCCAAGUGACUUUAAGGAGAGAGAUCCUAAGAAGUUAAACAGCUGCUUCAACUUUUUUUAAUCAGUGACAGCAUCUUAUCUUUAGCGUGUAUGCAGCGAUGUGUGAGGCCGCUUCCAUCAUUUUAUUACUGGCUCAGUGCACUGGUGGAUUCCAGAGAGUAUGGGUUUGGUUCCAGUUAGGUGUGGGCACAGGGCCACAUUCCCUCUGAAUGAAGUACCUGUGGCAUGAAGUUCAUAGGAGUUUAAUAAGAGCAGGUAGUUGAUGUCUGAUCUGAGAUGAAGUGGCAAUGGCACAGAGAGAGCAGUAUUUGUAAUCACAUUGUGUCAGUACAAAGUGCAAUUAACAUAUCUUCUGAAGACAUUUUAACUGACAGCACAAGUGAAAGAUGGAUCUGCUCUUUGGAUAGUGGAUUAUGGUACAUCUGCUCUGAUCCUAAGGACCCUAAUGUUGGAUUUAUUGUGUCAUUAAGCCACAGUCAGAGAGCAGAGUGAACUGUGUGUUUUACAGUUGCUAAAAAUGGAAAGCACUCCAUCACCGGUAUGCUCUUUGCAGUGAACAAGACAGUGCUAUUUGAAAACUGUCGUUGAAGAUGAUUCAACCAUCAUCUAUCUACAUCUGAAAUCUUGCAUGGUGAUAGCAAAGAGGAACAUAAACCUGCUAAUGUGUUAACAGGGAAAUUUAAAGAAGAUUUGGGCUCCCCAGCUCAAGAGGCACAGAGAACUUCUGGAGAGAGUCCAGCACAGGGCCACCAAGAUGAUCAGGGGACUGGAACAUCUUCCUUAUGAGGAAAGGCUGCGGGAACUGGGGCUGUUUAGUCUAGAAAAGAGGAGACUGAGGGGGAAUCUCAUUAAUAUUUACAAAUAUCUAAAUGGUGGGUGUCAGAAGGUUGGGACAUCAAUUUUUCUAUUGUAUCUAGCAACAGGACAAGGGGUAAUGGGAUGAAGCUGGAACACAGUAAGUUCCAUUUAAACAUAAGGGGAAACUAUUUUCCUGUUCAGAUGAGGGAGCCCUGGCACAGGCUGCCCGGAGGGGUUGUGGAGUCUCCUUCUCUGGAAGUUUUCAAAACCCAUUUGGACAUGUUCCUAUGCGACCUGAUCUAGGUGACCCUGCUUCUGCAGGGGGGUUGGACUACAUGAUCUUUAAAGGUCCUUUCCAGUCCCUACCAUUCUGUGAUUCUGUAAAGAUGUUAUGUAACUACAUUCUUGAGCUGACCACAGGUGCAGUUCUUGUCUGCUUGGAUCAUUUAACUUGCCUAACAUCAAAUGCACACUUAAUAGUCAAAAGCCACCUACACUCAGUAACAGCAGGAUCCUCCAGUGACAUAUGAACUGUUCCAAAAAAAUAUCAGUUAAAUAAUAGCUGGGGUUUUCUGGUUAAAAGAAAAUUAGACUUUCAUUAAAUUCUAAGAUAAGGUUAACAAAAAGAAUUACUUCUUUCAUUAUGUAAUCUGGUUAUCUGCCACGUCAACUUGGUGACAGGAUAAUUUGGAUCUGCUAAUUUAUGGACUGAACUGAAAUUGCUGCACAAAUCAAUCAAAAUAUCGAUCUUUGCUUUUGUUUUAAUCAGUUUGGUGAAACUGCAGGUAAAUCAGGUAAGCAAUGCACUCUGUGAGAUUCUUAUUCAUGUACUCAUCCUUUGUAUGCAGCCCAUACAUGGGACACAAGAUGUGUUUACCUCAUGCUGCAACCUGGGUCACAAACUCACAGGGCACACAGAAGCUCUGGUGUGAAAUCACCAGCCUCUUGGAUCUGUCUCCAAAGCGACUACCUACAUCCCUUACAUUACCCAGGCUGUAACAUCUGCAAUAAAAACCAACCAACUCUGGUGGUGGUUUUCUAUAUUGCAAUCACAGAAUCUCAAGGGCUGGAAGGGACCUUGAAAGAUCAUCCAGUCCAACCCCCCCUGCCAGAACAAGAUCACCUAAAGUAGGUCACACAGGAACUCGUCCAGGUGGGUUUUGAAUGUCCCCAGAGAAUGAGACUCCACAGCCUAGAAUGAAGCUAUGUGUAAGUUAUAAAUAUGCUUAUGUGCUAUGGAUUUGCUCGUGUGCCUUCAUUCACCUGCAUAAGACAACAGAAGACACACAAUUGCCAAACGUAUUCACCCACAAUGGACACCUGCCAGGACACAGAGCCAGCUGCAAAUAGGACAAGAUUACACACCAUACAGCGUGCUUCUUAUCAGACCACACUGUAACAUAAGCAGGGUUUACCAGCUCUUCUACUUCAGUCACAUUGGCAAACUUUCUAGUGGAGGCUGCUCUACAAAUCAGCUCUGGAGGAGUGUGAGCCUGCUGACAGCAGAGCUGCUUGGGAGGCUUGAGGAGAGUGUAAAGCUUUCCACCCUUUGGGAGGAACGACAGAGAAACACCGUCAGCUUCCUUAAGUGAAUCUCCGCUGGAGAACAAAGGACUUCAGCUCGUACACACAGUGAAUGAAAAGCAGCAAGAACAUUUCUGGGUGCCUAGAGAGCCUUUUUUUUUCUUUCUAUCCUUGCCUAGCUAUAAAACAGUUUAAAGGAAUUUUAUUAAACUUCCCAAGGAAAUCCAGCUCAUAAACACAAGGAUGAGUAUUUUCUAGUACAACUACAGAUGCUUUGGAACAGAAUAAAUCCUUGAAAGUCUCUUACCUUCAUAGAUGUUCUCAUGUAGUACUGUAAUUUCCCAACUAUCCAGCAGAACUUCCUUAAUUAUCAGCUGACGGCGAUUCUCAAGCCAAGUGUGCUACAGGAACCUCUAUUCUAGAGGCCUUUAGGGGGUUUUACACCAGCAAAACGUUUGGCUGCAUCUAUUAAAAAACACGAAAAACCCCUUUAACUGACAGCUAUGUCAACUGGGAUAAGGAGUGGUGGGACAUAGCUGUUAUCAGGAGCAUUUCUAAGUUAUGACUUCAGCAAAGCUAUGCCUUUGAUAGGAGGUGGUUUCAAGAACACGUGUAUGAAAGGUGUGUUUGCAAGCAUAGAUACACCCACACUCUGUACAUAUUGCUGGUACAACACCACUCCUCUAAUAAUAAACAACUUUUCAUUAGAGAGCCCAAGAACGGAUUCAAUGAGCAUUGCUGUGGCACUCUUAAUGAGCUGCUUCAAGAACUACUCAGAGUAUGGAGUGUUCCCACAGCUCAUGAGCACAGGGGCCUCAUAGGCAACUUCUCACUAACAGCCUGGAGACUCUGCUAAGGUACCACUGGCUUCAU